rnacentral:rRNA from 1 species
CGGACGCUGGCGGCGUGCUUAACACAUGCAAGUCGAACGGAGAGAGAUGGGAGCUUGCUCCUAUUAAUCUUAGUGGCGAACGGGUGAGUAACGCGUAACCAACCUGCCCUUCAGAGGGGGAUAACAACGGGAAACCGUUGCUAAUACCGCGUACGAUUACCGAGCGGCAUCGCUUGGUAAUGAAAGGUGGCCUCUAUUUAUAAGCUAUCGCUGAGGGAGGGGGUUGCGUCUGAUUAGCUAGUUGGAGGGGUAACGGCCCACCAAGGCAAUGAUCAGUAGCCGGUCUGAGAGGAUGAACGGCCACAUUGGGACUGAGACACGGCCCAAACUCCUACGGGAGGCAGCAGUGGGGAAUCUUCCGCAAUGGACGAAAGUCUGACGGAGCAACGCCGCGUGAGUGAUGACGGCCUUCGGGUUGUAAAGCUCUGUUAAUCGGGACGAAAGAGCUCUGUGUGAAUAAUGCAGAGAAGUGACGGUACCGGAAUAGAAAGCCACGGCUAACUACGUGCC